rnacentral:lncRNA from 1 species
AGUUGCUUAGCGGGCUUGAAUGAUUGGCCUGAUGUGUUUUGAUGUCGGCUGCCGGGUGUCUUAUGGACGUGCUGGCAAUCUACUAAGUCGGGACAUGACAGUGACUUAUGAGGAUGUGCAUGUGAACUUCACUCAGGAAGAGUGGGCUUUGCUGGAUCCCUUCCAGAAGAAGCUCUACAAAGAUGUCAUGCUGGAGACCUACAAGAACCUCAAUGCUAUAGGCUUUAAUUGGGAAGAAAAAAAUAUUGAGGAACAUUGUCAAAGUUCUAGAAGACAGAGAAGGUACUUCUUAUAUGCAAGCUCAUACAAAUAUGCCUCUGAAGAAAUUUUAAUGUGUGCUGAAAGUUUGAAAGUAAAGCAACAGUGUAAAUAAGAACUGCUUUAAAUAUAUUGGUGAUUGAUACAUGAUAACAAAACCAUGGUAUUUCAUGUGCUUUUAUCUGAUUUGUUUUUGGAAUGCAAUUUUUUAAGAAAGUGGACUUGGAAACAAUGCCUUAGUGUAUAUCACCAUUUGAAAGACAGCCCUGUUACAACUACACUGUACAACUGGCAAUACAUAUCUGCUAAUUUUGUAAAAGCUCCACAUGUUGAAUAGUUGACAAAUACAUGUUGAAAAGCUUCUAAUAAGCUUAUUCAGAUAUUAAUAGUGAUAUUGUUAGAUUUAGUGAAAUUGGCAGAUUAUUUGUUGUAAGAAGGAUAUUGUGCAUUAACCUCCAUCCCUAUAUCACUUGUCUAUGAAG